GAUAAACGCUAGCGGCAGGCUUAGCACAUGCAAGUCGAGGGGCAGCAUAGAUUGUAGCAAUACAAUUGGUGGCGACCGGCGCACGGGUGCGUAACGCGUAUGCAACCUACCCGUCACAGGGGGAUAAUCCGGAGAAAUCUGGUCUAAUACCCCAUAACAUAUGGAUCGGCAUCGGUUCAUGUUGAAAUUUUCGGAGGUGACGGAUGGGCAUGCGUAGCAUUAGCUUGUUGGUGAGGUAACGGCUCACCAAGGCGACGAUGCUUAGGGGGACUGAGAGGUUUUCCCCCCACACUGGUACUGAGACACGGACCAGACUCCUACGGGAGGCAGCAGUGAGGAAUAUUGGUCAAUGGGCGCAAGCCUGAACCAGCCAUGCCGCGUGCAGGAUGACAGCUCUAUGAGUUGUAAACUGCUUUUGUACGAGGGUAAAGUGGGUUACGUGUAACCUUUUGAAAGUAUCGUACGAAUAAGGAUCGGCUAACUCCGUGCCAGCAGCCGCCGUAA
rnacentral:rRNA from 1 species